rnacentral:rRNA from 1 species
AUAGGAACGUGUCCGGGAGUGGGGGAUAACUAGCCGAAAGGUUAGCUGAUACCGCAUAUUCUCUACGGAGGAAAGCAGGGGACCAGUAAUGGCCUUGCGCUCGCGGAGUGGCCUAUCUUCGAUUAGCUAGUUGGUGAGGUAAAGGCUUACCAAGGCGACGAUCGAUAGCUGGUCUGAGAGGAUGAUCAGCCACACUGGGACUGAGACACGGCCCAG